rnacentral:rRNA from 1 species
AUAAUAAUUUGUUUUUUAAAUAAAAACUAGUAUGAAUGGCUUCACAUUUUCUAACUGUCUCUCUUUAUUCUCUUUUAAAUUUCUACUUCCGUGAAGAAGCGGAAAUAAUUAUAUAAGACGAGAAGACCCUGUCGAGCUUUAGCCAAUUUAAAAUAAAUAUUAUUAAAAAGGCUUUGGUUGGGGCAACCAUGGAGAAAAUUUAUCCUCCAGAAAUUAAAGAUGAAUUAUUAUUCUCUUAAUCUAAUUUUGAACCAAUUUAUUUUGGUAAUCAGAAAUAGUUACCGCAGGGAUAACAGCGUAAUCUUCUUUAAGAGCCCAUAUUGACA